rnacentral:rRNA from 1 species
CUACGCACUCCUACGGGAAGGCAGCAGUGGGGAAUAUUGCACAAUGGGCGCAAGCCUGAUGCAGCCAUGCCGCGUGUAUGAAGAAGGCCUUCGGGUUGUAAAGUACUUUCAGCAGUGAGGAAGGUGGGUAUGUUAAUAGCAUAUUCAUUUGACGUUAGCUGCAGAAGAAGCACCGGCUAACUCCGUGCCAGCAGCCGCGGUAAUACGGAGGGUGCGAGCGUUAAUCGGAAUUACUGGGCGUAAAGCGCAUGCAGGUGGUUUGUUAAGUCAGAUGUGAAAGCCCGGGGCUCAACCUCGGAAUUGCAUUUGAAACUGGCAAACUAGAGUACUGUAGAGGGGGUAGAAUUUCAGGUGUAGCGGUGAAAUGCGUAGAGAUCUGAAGGAAUACCGGUGGCGAAGGCGGCCCCCUGGACAGAUACUGACACUCAGAUGCGAAAGCGUGGGGAGCAAACAGGAUUAGAUACCCUGGUAG